GUCAGGUUGUAUUUAAAGGUGCUCUUCAUGCAUCAGGUUUGCAUGCGUAUAAAAUGUACAUAUUCUUGGAGUUGGCAUUGGAUAUGAGUAGGAAGAAAAUUUAUUUUUCGUUACCUUCUGCCUCUACAACAUUCCUGUAUAGCUUGAUAUUGGUAAAAGAAGCUGCCGUGCGUUUGGUAUGGUGCAUGAUUGUUUAUUGACAGACUGUCAGUAGCAGCCAUGCCUACAUGUGUAGUAUAGCAUUGAUGGC